UCCUUAGUGGUCCAGUGGCUGAGACUCUGUGCUCCUAAUGCAGGGGGCCCAGGUUUGAUCCCUGGUGUGGGAA
rnacentral:tRNA from 1 species